rnacentral:rRNA from 1 species
GAUGAACGCUGGCGGCGUGCCUAAUACAUGCAAGUCGAGCGAACAGACGAGGAGCUUGCUCCUCUGACGUUAGCGGCGGACGGGUGAGUAACACGUGGAUAACCUACCUAUAAGACUGGGAUAACUUCGGGAAACCGGAGCUAAUACCGGAUAAUAUAUUGAACCGCAUGGUUCAAUAGUGAAAGACGGUUUUGCUGUCACUUAUAGAUGGAUCCGCGCCGCAUUAGCUAGUUGGUAAGGUAACGGCUUACCAAGGCAACGAUGCGUAGCCGACCUGAGAGGAGGGUCGGCGCCACUGGAACUGAGACACGGUCCAGAGUCCUACGGGAGGGAGCAGUGGGGAAUAUGGGACAAUGGGCGAAAGCCUGAUACAGCCAUGCCGAGUGUGGGAAGAAGGUGUUCGGAUUGUGAAGCACUUUAAGUUGGGAGGAAGGGAAGUAAGUUAAUACCUUGCUGUUUUGACGUUACCAACAGAAUAAGCACCGGCUAACUUCGGG